AACGCGAAGAACCUUACCCAGGUUUGACAUGCAGUGGACGAUACCAGAGAUGGUAUUUCUCUUCGGAGCCGCUGCACAGGUGCUGCAUGGCUGUCGUCAGCUCGUGCCGUGAGGUGUUGGGUUAAGUCCCGCAACGAGCGCAACCCUUAUUACUAGUUGCCAACACGUAAAGGUGGGAACUCUAGUGAGACUGCCUGGGUUAACCAGGAGGAAGGUGAGGAUGACGUCAAGUCCGCAUGGCCCUUAUAUCUGGGGCUACACACGUGCUACAAUGGUCGAUACAGAAGGCUGCGAAGUCGCAAGGCGAAGCAAAUCCCUAAAGUCGAUCCCAGUUCAGAUUGUAGUCUGCAACUCGACUACAUGAAGUUGGAAUUGCUAGUAAUGGCGUGUCAGCAACAGCGCCGUGAAUACGUUCCCGGGCCUUGUACACACCGAGUAUA
rnacentral:rRNA from 1 species